AACGAACGCUGGCGGCGUGGGUAAGACAUGCAAGUCGAACGGAGAUCUUGAAUAGCUUGCUAAUUAAGAUCUUAGUGGCGGACGGGUUAGUAACACGUGAGAACCUACCCUUUAGACAGGAAUAGCCCAUGGAAACGUGGAUUAAUGCCUGAUAGUCUCUACGGAGUAAAUGGUGCCUUCGGGUAUCGCUAGAGGAUGGGCUCGCGGCCUAUCAGCUUGUUGGUGAGGUAAAGGCUCACCAAGGCGACGACGGGUAGCUGGUCUGAGAGGACGAUCAGCAACACUGGAACUGAGACACGGUCCAGACACCUACGGGUGGCAGCAGUCGAGAAUCAUUCACAAUGGAGGCAACUCUGAUGGUGCAACGCCGCGUGGAGGAUGACGGUCCUAGGAUUGUAAACUCCUGUCAUUGGGGAGUAAGACUUAAGCGUUAAGAGCGUUUAAGUUUGAUAGUACCCAAAGAGGAAGGGACGGCUAACUUCGUGCCAGAAGG
rnacentral:rRNA from 1 species